rnacentral:rRNA from 1 species
GAUGAACGCUGGCGGCGUGCCUAAUACAUGCAAGUCGAGCGAACGGACGAGAAGCUUGCUUCUCUGAUGUUAGCGGCGGACGGGUGAGUAACACGUGGAUAACCUACCUAUAAGACUGGGAUAACUUCGGGAAACCGUAGCUUAUACCGGAUAAUAUUUUGAACCGCAUUGUUCAUAAGUGAAAGACGGUCUUGCUGUCACUUCUCGAUGGAUCCGCGCUGCAUUAGCUAGUUGGUAAGGUAACGGCUUACCAAGGCAACGAUGCAUAGCCGACCUGAGAGGGGGAUAGGCCACACUGGAGCGGAGACGCGGUCCAGACGCCUACGAGAGGCAGCAGUAGGGAAUCUUCCGCAAUGGGCGAAAGCAUGACGGAGCAACGCCGCGUGAGUGAUGAAGGUCUUCGGAGCGUGAAACUCUGUUAUUAGGGAAGAACAUAUGUGUAAGUAGCUGUGCACAUCUUGACGGUACCGAAUCAGAAAGCCACGGCUAACUACGUG